ensembl:misc_RNA
UUGACAGCUUUGGAAACUAAAAGACACUAAUUGUCCACAGAACAGGUACAGUAUGGCCAGUGGCAGUACAAAACAUGUUAUGUUGUCCUGCCAAUGAGCCUCACAUACAUUUCUUAGAACUUUAUGGAGUAUAAAGGUUCUAAGGCCCCUUCCCAGUUCAGUCUUUGUAAGAU